CUGGUCCUCGGCAGCGAGUUGUGCGUCGUGGAGCGCUGGGGUUGUGGGCUGCUGGGGUGCGUGGCGCAGGGUGGGGGAAGCUGCUCCAUGCUUCUGUUGGUGGAAGGUCAGGGGGAUGCAGGAUGUGUGAUGAGGGAUGCAGGACGUGGCUGUUCCUUUUAGUGCCCCUCUUGGUGCCCCCGGGCGCUGGGUUGGUUCCUCUCCCCCUCCUGCUCUGAGCUGCUCCGCUGCGUUGGGUUCUCCUUGCCCCUGCGCCCGUUCCUACGCUGAAGUGGGUUGGGUGCACGAAGGCUGUUUUAUUUUUUGUUCUUUUUUUUUCCUUUUUUUAAAGCAAAGAGCUUUGUGGCCCUCUUUGGGCUUUGGCUCAUCCUGCUGGGAAGCCCUCACACCCGGCUGCCCAUCUCAGGCUGCUGUCCCCGGGCACAGCAGUGGAGCUGCCGUGGGUUCGGCUCAGCAGGAGGCGGUCAGCUCAGGGCAGGGGAUGGAUGUGUGCAGUGCUGGGGAUGGGGCAGCCCUGGCAUUGCUGAGGAUGGCUGCUUUUGCUUUUGUUUUUAAUUUUUACUGUGACAGAAGGGCCUGCGUUAAGGUACUUAGGGUAUGUUCUGCAACAGGUCCGGGUCUCUGGAUGAGUGCACCACAGGCGGUCCCUUUGGGCUCCCAGGGCCCUUUCUUUCUUUCCCAUUUUGGUUCCUGAAUCCAGGCAGCGCUUUGCUCAGGGUUUCUUUCCGUCUCUGUGUUGAAAUUCGGGAAGGGGAGGGGCGAGAGGCUGACCCAGCCUUUGGCCACGCGUUUUGUUUUCUUUGAUACUUGAAGCUGUUUUUUGGCACCGUGAUAUGAAGCUGUCCGGCGCUUGGCGCGUUCUGCUGUUCUUUGCCCUGAGACCAAGAAACGCCGGGCUCCUCCCUGCCCCCCACACUGGACAGCACACGGGGCAGCCCCUGCCCCAGCCCCAGUGGCGAUGGCUGUGACAUGGGGGGCACAGGACUGCCACUGCCCCGGCCCCAUUUGCACUUUACCCACAUCCACCAACACCCGCUCCUCCCGCCGCAUGGUGCUGCCCCAGCCCAGCACGGCGCUGUGAUUCGGGCUUCCCUUCCCACCCUCCCCAUGGAGCUGAGGGUCCCACAGCCCAGGGGUGCCCCGCUGACCUCCGAGGUCCCCCCCAGCGAUGCUGGCUGCCCAGUGAGGGGCUGAGCAUCCCCGCUCUGCACCUGUGGGGAGCACUGCGGGGCGUCCUCCUCCUCACCCCUUUGGAUGGGGCUGCGUGGGCUCCCUGCUGGCGUGAGGGGCCCCGAGCAAAGCGCUCCCAGACAGCACCAGGGACAGCAGCAGCAGUACUUGUAUGGCUUAGGGCAGAGAGUCUGAAGAGAGUCGAGUUGCACAGUGAAAAUAUAUAUUUUUAUACCUAGCACAACUUCCUGUAUAUUUUUGGGGUUCUUUCUUUCCUUUUCUUUUAUUGUUUUUUCCUUUUUUUUUUUUUUUUGGUUCUUCUUCUUUCAUUUGGAUUCGUUUUAUUACUUCUUAUUACUAGGAAGGCAAACUUCUAAAAUGUGAAGGGCGUUGGGUUUCUCCUUAUCUGGUAGAUGAGGGCAAGCAUUUUGCACUAAUGUUUCCUGUGUGUGGAGGAUUAAUGAUAUGUUUGAAGAUGUUAUAUGGAUAAUGAUUGUAUUCUUCCGACAAACACAACCAAGUUACCCCUUUGAAAUACUGAAUGUAACGCGAGAACAGAGCAGUCCAUCGAUUGUAUGCGGCUUUCCUGAGUGCCUUAGAAUUUUUUGAUCUUUUUUGUUCCUUCUUCUUCUUUUUCUUUUUCUUUUUUCCCAAGGAAAACAGAUGGAGAGAAUCAGAUCAUAACCAACUCCUUCCUCCUCUUUGUUUACGACACUAUUUUAAAUUAUAGAAUUCGGGGCUGCUUUAUAAUGUGAAUAGGAAACUGCAUUCAUCUAGGUCUGAUAGUGUAAAAUCAGAGCAUCAGUAUUUAUGGUAUGUCUGCACCUUUAUUCCUAUGCUUGACUAUUAGCAAUAUUACAUGUAUAUUAUAUAUCUAAAGUUAUACCAAGCACCUUUAAAGAAAUCAGAGCGCGUGCUCCGUGCAGUCCCCAUAUCCCCAUACCCACAUCCUUACAUCCCCAUACCUCUGCAUCCCUAUAUCCUGACAUCCCUACAUCCCUAUAUCACCACAUCCCUACACCCCUAUAUUGCCAUACCUCCACCUCCCUGUAUCCUCAUAUCCCCACAUCUCCAUAUCUCCAUAUCCCCACAUCCCCAUAUCUCCUUAUCCCCACACCCCAUUUCCCAGCUCCCAGCAGAGGAGGGCUGUAGGACCCUCCUCCUCCCAUCCGUGUCCCAGCAGCAUUGGGUUGCCAUGCCCAUCUUGCUGUGGGGCGCACAUGGGCUGGUGGCCACACGGAGCCACCGGAGCAGGGACUGAUGCCUUUCCCGGUCGUUUUCCUGCUAAGCUUUUGUUGGGAUUGCUUAUAUUUACAGAAAUAACUUGCUGUGAGCGGAGAAGGGUGUAUGGCCCAUUAACCAACCGAAAACCCAGAGCCUCCGCCGGCUGUAAAUCCUGAACACAGCGCGGAGAGCUCAUGGCCGUCUGGGGCUCCAACUGCUGUUUCGAAGUGUUCCUGCUGUAUAGAUGUGUCACGUUGUCAGCCCAGGGCUCGGGGCUGCCCCAAAGCCGGGGCUGUCGGAGCUCCGCGCACCGAGCGGGCGCUGCCAUGAGUUUCUUCCACUGUUAUAGAAGCGUUUUGCACACGACGGUUGGUUUUUAUGUUUAAAAAAAAAAAAAAAAAGAAAGAAAGAAAGAAAAAGAAAUAAUAAUAAAAAAUAAUAAAAAUAAUAAUAAUAAAUAUAUAUAUAUAUUAAAAAAAAAACAAAAAACAAAAACAAAAACAAAAGCCAAACCUCGCAAUACUAUUUUUAGCAGACAGAAUAAAUAAGCGAACAAAUACGGAAUUAAAGGAACGAAUAACCGGGUGGAAAAACGACCCCGUCGGGGAGGUUCUGAGCCGUCCUUCGGGGCGGAGGGCGUCGGGUUGGGACGGAGCUUUGAGCCUUCGGGUGCUUUGGGGGAAGGCAAAGCGAAGGGCUGAGCGGUGCCGUUGUGUGGGAGCGGCUCCGGCGCUGUGCGCAGUACUGUGACUCCACGACUGUUAUCCCUCUGUGUGCUGUAGGAGCGCCCCGCAGCACCUCUGGGCUCUGCAUCUCAGCCACGGACGAUGCUCGCUUCGUUUUGUUUUUUACUUUGAUCGCGCAUUAUUCACUGGUAUUUAUGUGCUCUUUACUCUGUGUAGUUAUGACUGUUAUUUUGUAGCCACGGCUGAUGCCAUAUAGAGGUAACUAAAACGAGAAAUAAAAGGUUAAGGACACCCCCACCCCACCCCCCCCGCCCCCCCCCAUUGGAACUGUGCUCACAGCUGUUUUCAGACGACGGAAAAUCCAUUUAGGAGGAACGAAUUCGCGGCCGGUGCGGCCAUUCAUUGUACG
ensembl:lncRNA